AAUACCUUAUUUGCAAUUAUUCUAAUUAAUUUUGCUUCAGAUCUGUAAUUUGGCAUGUCCCAUCCGCUUAUUUCUGCAACUGUUUUAAGAGCAGCCUUCCACUUUUCAACCCUCUGCUUAUUGUUCUUGUACUUGUCUUCAUACUUGCGAAAGAUUUUCUUGUAAGGACCUGUUUGCUUAGCAACAUGGUUAGGGCUUACAUCGUAGAAAACAGGGAGAAUAAUGUUCCCAAAGAGCAGGUUACAUUUAACAAUCUU
rnacentral:misc_RNA from 1 species